rnacentral:rRNA from 1 species
GGAUGCGAUCAUACUAGCACUAAAGCACCGGAUCCCAUCAGAACUCCGAAGUUAAGCGUGCUUGGGCGAGAGUAGUACUAGGAUGGGUGACCUCUUGGGAAGUCCUUGUGUUGCAUUCC